AGUGAACGCUGGCGGUAGGCCUAACACAUGCAAGUCGAACGGCAGCACAGUAAGAGCUUGCUCUUACGGGUGGCGAGUGGCGGACGGGUGAGGAAUACAUCGGAAUCUACUUUUUCGUGGGGGAUAACGUAGGGAAACUUACGCUAAUACCGCAUACGACCUACGGGUGAAAGCAGGGGAUCUUCGGACCUUGCGCGAUUGAAUGAGCCGAUGUCGGAUUAGCUAGUUGGCGGGGUAAAGGCCCACCAAGGCGACGAUCCGUAGCUGGUCUGAGAGGAUGAUCAGCCAAACUGGAACUGGAACAGGGUCCGGAUCCCUACGGGAGGCAGCGGUGGGAAUAUUGGACAAUGGGCGCAAGCCUGAUCCAGCCAUACCGCGUGGGUGAAGAAGGCCUUCGGGUUGUAAAGCCCUUUUGUUGGGAAAGAAAAGCAGCAGGUUAAUACCCCGCUGUUCUGACGGUACCCAAAGAAUAAGCACCGGCUAACUUCGUG
rnacentral:rRNA from 1 species